AGCACUGUGGACUUUAACAACGUAUGCAAUAAAAUCUGGUCUCAGGACAAGAAUCGUGUAUUCCUUAAUCGCCAUUAUCGAGUCAGUCUUCAGGGACGUAUUUAUGAUGCAUCAUCUGACACAGACAGAGCUUAUUCGCCACUAUUCUCUUACGUUGAUCGAAAUGUCCUUAAUAGGCCAACUUUCAAAUCUUUUACUGGUAAGUAACACUACAGGAAGGAAUAACACCAUGGAGUAAUACUACUUAGUAUAAAUUCAGUAUUGAAAAAUUGCUUUCAAGCGUUCUGAUUGGCACCCUCAGCAGUAACUCUGAG